GAUGAACGCUGGCGGCGUGCCUAAUACAUGCAAGUCGAGCGAACAGACGAGGAGCUUGCUCCUCUGACGUUAGCGGCUGACGGGUGAGUAACACGUGGAUAACCUACCUAUAAGACUUGUAUAACUUCGGGAAACCGGAGCUAAUACCGGAUAAUAUAUUUAACCGCAUUUUUCAAUAUUGAUAGACGGUUUUUCUGUCACUUAUAGAUGGUUCCGCGCCGCAUUAGCUAGUUGGUAAGGUAACGGCUUACCAAGGCGACGAUUCGUAGCCGACCUGAGAGGGUGAUCGGCCACACUGGAACUGAGACACGGUACAGACUACUACGGGAGGCAGCAGAAGGGAAUAUUCCGCAAUGGGAGAAAGGAGGACGGAGCAAAGCCGCGUGAGAGAUGAAGGUAUUCGGAUCGUAAAACUAUGUUAUUAGGGAAGAAAAAAAGUGUAAGUAAAUAUGCACGUAUUGACGGUAACAAAUCAGAAAGCAACGGCUAACUACGUG
rnacentral:rRNA from 1 species